rnacentral:misc_RNA from 1 species
AAUUAUCUGCGUGAGGGAUAGUAAUGAAAAGCCCACAGCAAGCGACAGAAUAUGCGGCGGAGCGAGGACUUGCAAUGUAUAGCCCGACCCGAA